GCACGGUCACGGACUGAUUUUAUAUGC
rnacentral:piRNA from 1 species